UACGAAGGGGGCUAGCGUUGUUCGGAAUUACUGGGCGUAAAGCGUAUGCAGGCGGACUUUUAAGUCAGGGGUGAAAUCCUGGAGCUCAACUCCAGAACUGCCUUUGAUACUGAGAAGCUUGAGUCCGGGAGAGGUGAGUGGAACUGCGAGUGUAGAGGUGAAAUUCGUAGAUAUCCGGAGGAACACCGGUGGCGAAGGCGGCUUCCUGGACCGAUACUGACGCUGAGGCGCGAAAGCUAGGGGAGCAAACGGG
rnacentral:rRNA from 1 species